CACAUGUUUGACCAUUCGUCUUAUUCAAAAAAUUUACGUAAUUAUAAUUUAUUUUGUUAUGAGUUCUUUUAUCACUCAUAGUACUUUAAGUGUAAUUUAUAUCUUAUACAUUUGCAUAAAAUUUUUGAAUAAGACGAACAGUCAAACAUGUGAGAAAAAAUCAAUAGC
rnacentral:pre_miRNA from 1 species